rnacentral:rRNA from 1 species
CUACGCACUCCUACGGGAGGCAGCAGUGGGGAAUAUUGCACAAUGGGCGCAAGCCUGAUGCAGCCAUGCCGCGUGUAUGAAGAAGGCCUUCGGGUUGUAAAGUACUUUCAGCAGUGAGGAAGGUGGAUAUGUUAAUAGCAUAUUCAUUUGACGUUAGCUGCAGAAGAAGCACCGGCUAACUCCGUGCCAGCAGCCGCGGUAAUACGGAGGGUGCGAGCGUUAAUCGGAAUUACUGGGCGUAAAGCGCAUGCAGGUGGUUUGUUAAGUCAGAUGUGAAAGCCCGGGGCUCAACCUCGGAAUUGCAUUUGAAACUGGCAAACUAGAGUACUGUAGAGGGGGGUAGAAUUUCAGGUGUAGCGGUGAAAUGCGUAGAGAUCUGAAGGAAUACCGGUGGCGAAGGCGGCCCCCUGGACAGAUACUGACACUCAGAUGCGAAAGCGUGGGGAGCAAACAGGAUUAAAUACCCUGGUAG